rnacentral:rRNA from 1 species
UACGGGGGGGGCAAGCGUUGUUCGGAAUUACUGGGCGUAAAGGGCUCGUAGGCGGCCAACUAAGUCGGAUGUGAAAUCCCCAGGCUCAACCUGGGAACUGCAUCCGAUACUGGAUGGCUUGAAUCCGGGAGAGGGAUGCAGAAUUCCAGGUGUAGCGGUGAAAUGCGUAGAUAUCUGGAGGAACACCGGUGGCGAAGGCGGCAUCCUGGACCAACACUGACACUGAGGAGCGAAAGCCAGGGGAGCAAACGGG